rnacentral:sRNA from 1 species
CCUCUUCAAUCUGCUGCGGGCAGAUGAAGUGAAUGUGGCAGUCGAUGCCGCCGGCCGUCAGAAUCUGGCCUUCGCCAGCUAUUACUUCCGUGGUUACGCCUACCACCAUGCCGGGUGUCACGUUGGGCAUAAUGUGCGGGUUACCCGCCUUGCCGAUGCCUACAAUCCGGCCGUUCUUGAUGCCAAUAUCGGCCUUAUAAAUGCCAGUAUAAUCGAGUACCAGGGCGUUGGUGAUGAGCAGGUCCAGCGCUUCUGCUUGCGGAAUUCCGGCGGCCUGCCCCAUGCCUUCGCGCAG